GGGCUGUCGCAAAUCAAGCGCCUCACUGGCAUGUUGUUUCGCCACUGGAUAUCGGCAAAGUGAGCCAUGGCCGUGUAGGAACGCCUGAAAUGGCCACACACCUUCCUGGCCUGCUUCAGGACGUCCUGUAAGCCUAUGUACUUAUGCACAAAGCGUUGUACGAUCAGAUUACACACAUGUGCCAUGCACGGCACAUGUGAC